AACUUUGGUCAAUGUGCGCAAGCCUGAUCCAGCCCGGCCGCGUGAGUGAAGCAGGCCUACGGGUUGUAAAGCUCUUUCGGACGGAAAGAAAUCGCACAGGCUAAUACCCUGCGCGGAUGACGAUACCGUCAUAAGAAGCACCGGCUAACUACCUGCCUGCAGCCGCGGUAAUACGUAGGGUGCGAGCGUUAAUCGGAAUUACUGGGCGUAAAGCGUGCGCAGGCGAUUGAUUAAGAAAGGCGUGAAAUCCCCGGGCUUAACCUGGGAACUGCGCGUGUGACUGGUCAGCUAGAGUACGGCAGAGGGGGGUGGAAUUCCACGUGUAGCAGUGAAAUGCGUAGAGAUGUGGAGGAACACCGAUGGCGAAGGCAGCCCCCUGGGCCGAUACUGACGCUCAUGCACGAAAGCGUGGGUAGCAAACAGG
rnacentral:rRNA from 1 species